rnacentral:lncRNA from 1 species
AGGGAAAGACAGUUGGCACACUGUUAGGUCACAGUAAGACUGUUAACUGUCACAAAGCUCUGCAGAGGGGCUGUCUGUUGCCAUACCAGGAAGAGACAGUCCACUCCCUCUUGAAGAGACAAACUCAAGCAGACUUCGCAGAAGAGAAACGACUGCACUGAGUCUUAAAAGAAGAGAAGUUUAGCAGAAUAAGGAGGAAAGGGCAAGUGCCAAAGCAAGGAGCCAGGGGACAGGGCCUAAGAGGACCCAGAGAAUAAGAGGACAGCAUGUAAGACAGCGUGGAGACAAACAGGGAAGAGCAUGCCACCAGUAAUAGACACUGAUGGUGAACAAAUAUAGAGCCUGGAAUCCAGUGAGGUCACACAGCCUCUGAAAGCCAGCGAAGCCGCAUGGAAUCUGGGAACACAGCUCAGCGAUGGUCCAGCUGCCUCUGCAUUCUUCACCUCCCACUGUCUUCUGCCCCUUCGCCCCUCCAGCACCAAAGUCAGAGCACAGAGCCCAUGAUCACCUGAUACCAGCGAGCAACCACGUGUUUCUUUCAGAAACCAGGAGCCAGCCGAUAACCCAGGCGUUCUGUCCCGACCCAGCCCAUGUUCUCUGCAGUGGAGGGCUGAGGGGGAAAUUCUCCCCACUGGCAGAACACAGAGGGCUCCUGAGGCUUGGGCAGGCCUGUGUUCAAACACAACCGAGGUGUACAGACAGGACCUGUGUCAGCACGUGAUGUCCUGCUUACAUCUCAGAUCGUGGAUGAGACCUGUGUGGAGACUGGUGUUGCACUUACAGAGGGUCCAGGUUCUUCCAGAGAGCCAAGAACCAGGAAACUGGACACAGAUCCAAAUCUGGUUGCCUCUAAUGAUACCACCCUGGGGCCAAAGGGAGCAGUGCUUCUGGGACUUCAAAUUCGUGCAUCUUCACAGUCAAUGUUGGAGUCUACUUAGAUGAUGGGCAUUAACAUUUAAAACACUUUUAAGAUUUGAUGUGCAGGCAGUAAAGCCAACUGAGAGUGCAGUAAGAACACCAAGCUACAUCUUUGCCAAUCAGCUACAAGGGCCCGAUCUUGCCCUUCAAUAAAUACAGUGAAAUAUGUAACCUAAGGUUUCCCUCCAGGUGGAAGAAGCAAAGAAUUUAGGAUCAGAACACCUGAGUCUGGGCUCAGUUGUUUGUGAGCUGUGUGGUUUUGAUCGAAUUCCUUACGAUUCUCAGGCUUGUUUGAAGAACCUGAUAGUACUGCACACGGGUGUAAGCAUGCAUCGGACAGUGUAUGUGUAAGUGCUUUGGAAGUGGUGAGGAGUGAUGGAAAUGUGCCUCCCCAGUGUUUUAUUCACAGUGCUCCUGCCUGGCUGCAUCUACUUAACCCACUCUCCAAGAGCUAGAAUCUGAUUUCAGCCGUAUGGAAUUCUCCACCGUGUGGCAGAUGGGUUUACAAGUGUCUUGGUCUCUUCUUGUAAUGAACAGCCAAGAAGUCUAAAGCUUGCAUUGUUUACAUGGAAAAUGUUUCUUGCUCUUCUUUUGCCCGUUCCCACGUCAUACCAUCUGAAAUUGUUACCUUUUUUAUCUGCUCAGUGUGGUUCUUUAAUUUUGUGGGAUCCUCUGCUCAUAAACUCCAUUCGACUCUUCUCCUACUCUGGAUGGCUACUUUUCUGUGAGUUUAGCUCUAUGACUUAUAAAAGUUUUUUCAUAUUUGCUGUCUGAAUUGUACUUCACAAAACCCCCUGAAGUGAGGAAGGCCGGUACCCUCAUGUCUUUCCCAGGUGAGGAAACAGAGGUGCAGAGAGGCGUAGCUUAUCUGUCUCACGGCCCACAGUGCCUCUCUUUUUUGCCACAGUCUUUUCUGCACAGAAGAGAGCUGCCCAGAGUCAGGACAGCCCCGAGGGAGGGGCCCGUCUCACCAUGAGAUGACUGAGCCCCAGACGUGCAGCAGAGUCAUUAUUCUGUUCAGCACUCAGAGGCCUCUAUUUGGAGCUGCUUCUAUGUACAUGGCCUGCAUUGUACUGGUGGGGUGGGAGACACAGAGGAAUCUGAGACUAUCUCUGAUGUUCAGGAGCAUAAGACACCAGGGAGACAUGGCUAAUAUAUAAAAUCCUGACAACUACAAAGUCCUUUCCAGUGGAGAGCCCUCUCUCCAAUACCAGAAUUCUUCACCCUUGAAGGGAAGACCAGUCUCACUUCUCAGGGACUGGAAGUAUGGUCCCUAGGUAGACUCAGGUUUCAGCCCUUGCUAGCUUGUCGUGCCUUCAAUUCUCAUGAUGACUCCUAGGGUCACUUCAGUUCAAGGGAAGAAGGCUUUCCUCAUGAUUUAGGGAGAAUUGAAGGGUAUAUGAGUCGGCUUUCCAUUCCUACAACAAAUGCCUUGCAUAAUCAACUUAACAAGAGUACAAGGUUUGCUCUGCUCCUGGUUUAAGAUGCUCCUGCCAUGGCUGGUUGGCUGCAUUGCUUUGGGAUCCAUGAGAGAUGGCCCUAUGUGGGGGGAGUUUGGUAGAGCAAGAUGAGCAUCUCAUGGCCAGGAGAGGAAACGGGAGGGUCGGGGUCCAUCUAUCCACUCCCAGGGUUCACCCUCGGACCCCCAGACCUCCCACCAGCCCUGCCUUGGAAAGGUGAGAAAGUGAGACCUUGGAAAGGUGAGACCUCCCCCGGGGAUCACACCUUUACCACAUGGAUCUUUGGGGGACACUUCGGUCUGAACUACAGCAGAAGAUGGUGAAGGAGAGAUUGGCAAGACUGUUGCCUUUGUGGCAUCUUCUCACUGGCUUUGCAGAUCUCGCUGGCCAGAGCAAGGCAGUCACUGUGCCUGUUGCUGCUGCAUGAUCCCCACCCCACUGUCACCGUCAGAGACUUCUCGUAGACUUUGGACAUGAAGCGUCCUGGGGCUGGUGUGGAGGUCCCUGGACGUGCAACAGUCCCUUGCUGUCACUGGUGACCAGCAGCCUUUCUCGUGACCUAGCACUCUGCCUCCUAAGACAAAGCUGAAUUGCAGGGCCUUCUCAUCUCUGGACAUUGGUGCCAAAGCCUUGGUCUUCGGGCAGACAGGGUGGAAUCGAAAUGCAGGAGACCUGGGCCCACAGUCCAAGCUGGGACCAGGUCUAGGAAGUGAAAUGAGAUGCCUGAGGGGCCCACAGCCUUAGGAGAAUGAGGCUAGCAAACCGCAAUGAGGACAGGGACUCUGGGAGUGCUAAGCCAGCAGCCAUGUGGCAUGGAAUCUGGAGUCAGGAAGCUGUCCAUGAGACCCUCUGCAUGAUGGUGGACUGGUUCUUGAACUUCAGAGAGCCUCCCUGUGGCCAUUCUCAUGGAAGGACUGUAUCUUUACAUGUGUGUGCAUAACUAAAGAACACUGUGAUGAGCUGGGUGUGGUGGUGCACACCUGUAAUCCCAAUACUCAGGCUGGCUGAGGCAGGAAGAUCUCCAGAUUGAGCCCACCCUGGGCAAUUUAGCAAGACCUUGUCUCAAAAUAAAAAAAAUUAAAGUUUUGUGUGCUCAGUGUGAAGGCCCUGGGUUCAAAUAACAUUAUAGAAAAGA